rnacentral:rRNA from 1 species
UACGUAGGGACCGAGCGUUGUCCGGAAUCAUUGGGCGUAAAGAGCGUGUAGGCGGCUUGUUAAGUCUUGCGUGAAAUCUCGGGGCUCAACCCCGAGCGGUCGUGAGAAACUGGCAGGCUAGAGUGCGGGAGAGGAGAGUGGAAUUCCUGGUGUAGCGGUGAAAUGCGCAGAUAUCAGGAGGAACACCGAUGGCGAAGGCAGGUCACUGGGCCGCAACUGACGCUGAGGAGCGAAAGCAUGGGGAGCGAACAGG